GAUGAACGCUGGCGGCGUGCCUAAUACAUGCAAGUCGAGCGAACGGACGAGAAGCUUGCUUCUCUGAUGUUAGCGGCGGACGGGUGAGUAACACGUGGAUAACCUACCUAUAAGACUGGGAUAACUUCGGGAAACCGGAGCUAAUACCGGAUAAUAUUUUGAACCGCAUGGUUCAAAAGUGAAAGACGGUCUUGCUGUCACUUAUAGAUGGAUCCGCGCUGCAUUAGCUAGUUGGUAAGGUAACGGCUUACCAAGGCAACGAUGCAUAGCCGCCCUGAGAGGGUGAUCGGCCACACUGGAAGUGAGACACGGUCCAGACUCCUACGGGAGGCAGCAGUAGGGAAUCUUCCGCAAUGGGCGAAAGCCUGACGGAGCAACGCCGCGUGAGGGAUGAAGGUCUACGGAUCGUAAAACUCUGUUAUUAGGGAAGAACAUAUGUGUAAGUAACUGUGCACAUCUUGACGGUACCUAAUCAGAAAGCCACGGCUAACUACGUG
rnacentral:rRNA from 1 species